rnacentral:snRNA from 1 species
AUACUUACCUGGCAGGGGAGAUACCAUGAUCACGAAGGUGGUUUUCCCAGGGCGAGGCUUAUCCAUUGCCCUCCGGAUGUGCUGACCCCUGCGAUUUCCCCAAAUGUGGGAAACUCGACUGCAUAAUUUGUGGUAGUGGGGGACUGCGUUCGCGCUUUCCCCUA